CGAACGGGUGAGUAACACGUGGGCAACCUGCCCAAAAGAGGGGGAUAACACUUAGAAACAGGUGCUAAUACCGCAUAACCAUAGUUACCGCAGGGUAACUAUGUAAAAGGUGGCUAUGCUACCGCUUUUGGAUGGGCCCGCGACGCAUUAGCUAGUUGGUGGGGUAAAGGCUUACCAAGGCAAUGAUGCGUAGCCGAACUGAGAGGUUGAUCGGCCACAUUGGGACUGAGACACGGCCCAAACUCCUACGGGAGGCAGCAGUAGGGAAUCUUCCACAAUGGGCGAAAGCCUGAUGGAGCAACGCCGCGUGGGUGAAGAAGGUCUUCGGAUCGUAAAACCCUGUUGUUAGAGAAGAAAGUGCGUGAGAGUAACUGUUCACGUUUCGACGGUAUCUAACCAGAAAGCCACGGCUAACUACGUGCCAGCAGCCCCGGUAAUACGUAGGUGGCAAGCGUUAUCCGGAUUUAUUGGGCGUAAAGAGAACGCAGGCGGUCUUUUAAGUCUGAUGUGAAAGCCUUCGGCUUAACCGGAGUAGUGCAUUGG
rnacentral:rRNA from 1 species